CAUGCAAGUCGAGCGGAAACGACCUAACAAUCCUUCGGGUGCGUUAAUGGGCGUCGAGCGGCGGACGGGUGAGUAAUGCCUAGGAAAUUGCCUUGAUGUGGGGGAUAACCAUUGGAAACGAUGGCUAAUACCGCAUGAUGCCUACGGGCCAAAGAGGGGGACCUUCGGGCCUCUCGCGUCAAGAUAUGCCUAGGUGGGAUUAGCUAGUUGGUGAGGUAAUGGCUCACCAAGGCGACGAUCCCUAGCUGGUCUGAGAGGAUGAUCAGCCACACUGGAACUGAGACACGGUCCAGACUCCUACGGGAGGCAGCAGUGGGGAAUAUUGCACAAUGGGCGAAAGCCUGAUGCAGCCAUGCCGCGUGUAUGAAGAAGGCCUUCGGGUUGUAAAGUACUUUCAGUUGUGAGGAAGGGUGUGUAGUUAAUAGCUGCGCAUCUUGACGUUAGCAACAGAAGAAGCACCGGCUAACUCCGUGCCAGCAGCCGCGGUAAUACGGAGGGUGCGAGCGUUAAUCGGAAUUACUGGGCGUAAAGCGCAUGCAGGUGGUUCAUUAAGUCAGAUGUGAAAGCCCGGGGCUUCAACCUCGGAACUGCAUUUGAAACUGGUGGAACUAGAGUACUUGUAGAGGGGGGGUAGAAUUUCAGGUGUAGCCGGUGAAAUGC
rnacentral:rRNA from 1 species